AGAGUUUGAUCCUGGCUCAGANCNNNNNNUGGCGGCAGGCUUAACACAUGCAAGUCGAGCGCCCCGCAAGGGGAGCGGCAGACGGGUGAGUAACGCGUGGGAAUCUACCUAUCUCUACGGAAUAACCCAGGGAAACUUGGACUAAUACCGUAUACGCCCUUCGGGGGAAAGAUUUAUCGGUGAUAGAUGAGCCCGCGUUGGAUUAGCUAGUUGGUGGGGUAAAGGCCUACCAAGGCGACGAUCCAUAGCUGGUCUGAGAGGAUGACCAGCCACACUGGGACUGAGACACGGCCCAGACUCCUACGGGAGGCAGCAGUGGGGAAUAUUGGAUAAUGGGCGAAAGCCUGAUCCAGCCAUGCCGCGUGAGUGGUGACGGCCCUAGGGUUGUAAAGCUCUUUCGCAGGUGAAGAUAAUGACGGUAACCUGAGAAGAAGCCCCGGCUAACUUCGUGCCAGCAGCCGCGGUAAUACGAAGGGGGCUAGCGUUGUUCGGAAUUACUGGGCGUAAAGCGCACGUAGGCGGAUACUUUAGUUAGGGGUGAAAUCCCAGGGCUCAACCCUGGAACUGCCUCUAAUACUGGGUAUCUCGAGUCCGAGAGAGGUGAGUGGAAUUCCGAGUGUAGAGGUGAAAUUCGUAGAUAUUCGGAGGAACACCAGUGGCGAAGGCGGCUCACUGGCUCGGUACUGACGCUGANGUGCGAAAGCGUGGGGAGCAAACAGGAUUANAUACCCUGGUAGUCCACGCCGUAAACUAUGANAGCUAGCCGUCGGCAAGUUNACNUNNNGGUGGCGCAGCUAACGCAUUAAGCUCUCCGCCUGGGGAGNACGGNCGCAAGAUUAAAANNUCANAGGAAUUGACGGGNCCGCACANGCGGNGG
rnacentral:rRNA from 1 species